rnacentral:tRNA from 2 species
CUAAGGAUGGUUCUUCAGAAGCUUGCUUCUAUCGAACCGUUUUAGAAACAUCAGUGGCCAACGGUCGUCAGGAUCGUUGAGCUGCAUUGGCGGGAUUUCGCCGUCUUCGUUUCUCUUUCUUCGCGGACGAACACGCGCUGGGGCUGCAACCUUGCAGAAUCCCUGGUCCUUGACUGGAUAUGCGUUAGGGGCUUGUAGCUCAGUUGGUUAGAGCGCGCGCUUGAUAAGCGUGAGGUCGGAAGUUCAAGUCUUCCCAGGCCCACCACACUCAUCGAGUGAGCAUUCGUCUUCUGGUUACGGGGCCAUAGCUCAGCUGGGAGAGCGCGUGCUUUGCAAGCAUGAGGUCGUCGGUUCGAUCCCGUCUGGCUCCACCAGAUGGUUUGAUCACCGACUAUUCGUACCGUCGUCCGCGAAACAUCACUUCGCACUUACUAGUCCGGAUGGACAGUAAGCUGCGUGAUUUCUGACAUCGUAAAGAGGAGAUCGAUCCGAGUUGGAUCGGGCAACAAGUAAUUGUUGCGCGAUACUUCAUUAUCUCCGGAUCAUUUCGGCGCUCGUGCGUCUUCCAGGGUAGCUCACAAGGCUGCGUCUGAAGGACACGCGAGUUGUAAAUGAUCCUUUUAGCGAAGCUUGACCGCCUCGCUAUCGGAACGAUCUUACGAAGCAAGCUGGUCUUUCUAAUCAUUGUCCGGCUGCAGAUAGCGUUCAUCGAGGGCGCGUGCCUUAGAGACUUAGGUUUCUUGGCAAUUCUGCAGACAACAUUCUGCCGAGUGUGUGGACAUUGAUAAUGAGAGC